rnacentral:rRNA from 1 species
AUUGAACGCUGGCGGCAUGCUUUACACAUGCAAGUCGAACGGUAACAGGCCGCAAGGUGCUGACGAGUGGCGAACGGGUGAGUAAUGCAUCGGAACGUGCCCAGUCGUGGGGGAUAACUACUCGAAAGAGUAGCUAAUACCGCAUACGAUCUAUGGAUGAAAGCGGGGGACCGUAAGGCCUCGCGCGAUUGGAGCGGCCGAUGUCAGAUUAGGUAGUUGGUGGGGUAAAGGCGCACCAAGCCAACGAUCUGUAGCUGGUCUGAGAGGACGACCAGCCACACUGGGACUGAGACACGGCCCAGACUCCUACGGGAGGCAGCAGUGGGGAAUUUUGGACAAUGGGCGCAAGCCUGAUCCAGCAAUGCCGCGUGCAGGAAGAAGGCCUUCGGGUUGUAAACUGCUUUUGUACGGAACGAAACGGCUCUGGUUAAUACCCGGGGCUAAUGACGGUACCGUAAGAAUAAGCACCGGCUAACUACGUG